AGUCCCCUGCUUCUACAAGUGAAGUCACUGAAGGAAGAUUUGCAGAAAGAAACUAUAAGUGUGGAUCAGACAGUUGCACAAGUGUUCCGACUGCGGCCGUACCAGGACGUCCAUGUGAAUGUUGUUGACCCAAAGGAGGUGACCUUGGACUUGGUGGAGCUGACCUUUAAAGAUCAGUAUAUUGGACGUGGGGAUAUGUGGCGACUGAAGAAAAGUUUGGUCAGCACAUGUGCAUAUGUCACCCAAAAAGUUGAAUUUGCGGGUAUCAGGGCCCAGGCAGGUGAGCUGUGGGUAAAGAGUGAGAAAGUCACUUGUGGAUACAUCAGUGAGGACACCCGGGUGGUCUUCCGUUCCACUUCUGCCAUGGUUUAUAUUUUUAUUCAGAUGAGCUGUGAAAUGUGGGAU